rnacentral:SRP_RNA from 1 species
GAUGAGGGGCCCCCACAAUGGAGCCCUGCGAACCUGGUCAGGGACGAAAGUCAGCAGCCAUAAGCAGCAAGCUUCAGGUGUGGAGGGCCUCUCAUCGGG